AUGAUUUGGAUUUUCAAGGAUCACUGCGGAUGCACCGGACAGGACAUAAGGUAUCCUGCUUUUCCAUCGCAAACCUUUUCCCUAUCGCCAACCAAAUUGAUUCCAGGGAAAACACAGCAAAAAUAUGUUAAGAAUAAAAGAGAACUAUUCCCGGGAUACGCAUUGAUGUCUCCAAACCAUUCUUGUGUUGCCACAUGAAAUAUCCACAUUUUGGUGCAGGAAUAUUAACCUGCUUCCCUUUCGAUAGACGGCCAUAUUUCGAAAAACAUGACGACUUUAAAACGCGUUUAAGCUAUCUCUUAGGAUCGACUAACCCAUGUCCAAUUGCUGUUCACAUGGAACCUUUCUCCACUUCAGUCUUCAAAGUUCUCUUUUGAAUAUUUGCUACUUCCACCAAGAUCUGCACUAGAGACAAUUUCACCCAGGUUCACACCAAAGGCUGCGUCAUCAUCUCCACGCCCUCCUACUCAUUGUUCUAUAUCAAAAAACAAUGGGCUGGUAUAAGUAAUUCGCUGAAGCGCCAUCCAUUUUCAGGGCUAGUUCAUUCGGCAGGUGAGUUGUUACACACUCCUUAGCGGAUUCCGACUUCCAUGGCCACCGUCCUGCUGUCUAAAUGAACCAACACCUUUUAUGGGAUCUGCAUGAGCGAAUAUUCUGGCACUUUAACCAACCGUUCGGAUCAUCCCGCAUCGCCAGCUCUGCUUACCAGAGAUGGCCCACUAACAACUUUCUACUCAAUCACAUGGUUCAAAUUAAGCAACCAGGUGGUCUCACCCAUUUAAAGUUUGAGAAUAGGUCGAGGAUGUUACAUCCCCAAUGCCUCUAAUCAUUGGCUUUACCGAAUGAAGCUAUACAAGUUAUUGCUAUCCUAAGGGAAAUUUCGGAGGGAACCAGCUACUAGAUGGUUCGAUUAGUCUUUCGCCCCUAUACGUAUGUUUAACGAUCGAUUUGCACGUCAGAACCGUUGCGAGCCUCCACCAGGGUUUCCCCUGGCUUCACCCUACACGCGCAUAGUUCACCAUCUUUCGGGUCCCAGCAUAUGUGCUCCAACUCAAAUCUUUCACCGGAGAUCAUGAUCGGCCGAUGUUGCCACCCCCAUAUAGAGAGUUUCACACCUAUUUUACUUUCAUUACGCGCUCGGGUUUUUAACACCCAAACACUUGCAGAUAUGCUAGACUCCUUGGUCCGUGUUACAAGACGGGCGGUUUACAACCAUUUUGUCUGUGUCAUUUAUUUGCAGUUCCGAGGAACGCAAGAGCGCAAAUAUGCACCUCAGUCCAUCCCAGGCCAGAAAUCAUGGUUCAACGAACCAUAAAACGUUUGGACCGGGACAAACCCACACAGACUCUCCACAAACAUGCACACCUCCAUUUUUCAACAGAGGCAAACAUCUAAACGGAAACACUGGAUGCAAACCCUUCCCUUUCAGCGAUUUCAGGUACUUUUUAACUCUCUUUUCAAAGUUCUUUUCAUCUUUCCCUCACGGUACUUGUUCGCUAUCGGUCUCUCGCCAGUAUUUAGCUUUCUAUGGAAUUUACCACAGACUUUGAGCUGCAGUCCCAAGCAACCCGACUCUUUGAAAACAAACCGUACGCUGCGUAGAAAUUGAGUCAUAGACGGGAUUCUCACCCUCCAUGAUGCCCUGUUCCAAGGGACUUGGACCCAAUCACACAGCUGGUUUUGCUUCGAUAGACUACAAUUCUAUGCCAAGGCACAGAUUUACAUUAUGAGCUUUUCCCGCUUCACUCGCCGUUACUGAGGGAAUCCUGGUUGGUUUCUUUUCCUCCCCUUAAUAAUAUGCUUAAAUUCAGGGGGUCCUCUUUCCUGAUUUGAGGUUUGAUGUUGUAAAAGGUUAAAUAAUUGCUAGGAUUAUUUGUUGAAAUACUAUUCUCAAGGCCACCUAUUCCCAAAAGAGGAAACAAGAAAACAGGCCCACAAACUGCUCUAUAAAAAAGCAAGUGAGAAAAACAAACACUCAAACAGGAAUGCUCCCGGAUCACCCGAAAGCGCAAUGUGCGUUCAAAGAUUUGAUGAUUCACUGAAUUCUGCAAUUCGCAUUACGUAUCGCAUUUCGCUGCGUUCUUCAUCGUUGCGAGAGCCUAGACAUCCAUCGCUAAAAGUCAUAAAAAUGUUUAAAUUUUUGAAAAAAUUUGAAAAUGAUAAAAAAUAAAAUAGGAACAACAAAAAAAGUAAAGAUGUGGUAAUGAUCCCUCCGCAGGUUCACCUACGGAGACCUUGUUACGACUUCACCUUCCUCUAAAUGGUAAGGUUCACUCAACUUUUUCCGCAAACUGCCCAAUAAAGAACAAAAUGCAGAAUCCGAAGAUUUCACCGGACCAUUCAAUCGGUAGGUGCGACGGGCGGUGUGUACAAAGGGCAGGGACGUAAUCAGUGCAAGUUGAUGACUUGCGCUUACUAGGAAUUCCUCGUUAGAGAUUAAUAAUUGCAAAAAUCUAGCCCCAUCACGAUAGACAUUUAAAAGAUUACCCAGGCCUUCCGACCAAGGACAACUAUAAAAUAGUAAACUUGUUGAAUCCAUCAGUGUAGCGCGCGUGCGGCCCAGAACAUCUAAGGGCAUCACAGACCUGUUAUUGCCUCAAACUUCCUUCCGGUAAACCCGAAAUGUCCCUCUAAGAAGUCUCUACCUUUCUUGCGAAAAGCAGUACUAUUUAGUAGGCUGAGGUCUCGUUCGUUAACGGAAUUAACCAGACAAAUCACUCCACCAACUAAGAACGGCCAUGCACCACCACCCAUAGAAUCAAGAAAGAGCUCUCAAUCUGUCAAUCCUUCCUAUGUCUGGACCUGGUAAGUUUCCCCGUGUUGAGUCAAAUUAAGCCGCAGGCUCCACUCCUGGUGGUGCCCUUCCGUCAAUUCCUUUAAGUUUCAAUCUUGCGACCAUACUCCCCCCGGAACCCAAAGACUUUGAUUUCUCAUGUGCUGCUGCCUGGGGCCAAAAAACACCACCAGACAAUCGCAAGUCGGCAUAGUUUGAAGUAUAGACUACGAUGGUAUCUAAUCAUCUUCGAUCCCCAUACUUUCGUUCUUGAUCAAUGAAAACAUCCUUGGUAAAUGCCUUCGCAGUAGUUCGUCUUUCAUAAAUCCAAGAAUUUCACCUCUGACAAUUAAAUACGAAUACCCCCAACUGUCCCUAUUCAUCAUUACUUUGGUGUGCAAACCAACAAAAUAGCACCAAAGUCCUAUCUUAUUAUUCCAUACUAAUAUAUUCUUUUCAUACAAAAUGCUUGAAACACUCUAAUUUUUUUACAGUAAAUGACGGCCUACUAAAAGCAGGCCGAGGAUGGCCAGAGAUGACACACAGCAAACAUUGACAUUCGUCAAAGGCCAGGUCACUCCUACCAGAAAUUCAACUACGAGCUUUUUAACUGCAACAA
rnacentral:rRNA from 1 species